rnacentral:misc_RNA from 1 species
CACUAGCCCCGAUUGAAGCAUUUGUUUGAGCUCAUUUUGUGGGUUUCGGCGGCGGCAAAGCCGCCGCCGAAACCCACAAAAUAGCGAGUGCGGAAAGCGGGAUUAAGC